rnacentral:lncRNA from 1 species
UAGAAAUUCACGUCUCCUUGGCGGCCUGAUUGGAAGAGCAUCUGGGACUUGAGCCCCAAACUUGAGCUGGGUUCUCUUGAAAGCUUCCAGAGGAGAGCCUUGUUCCCACUGGCUUCUUGCAGGCAGGCAGGAGAGACGGGGACUAGGACUUGUCAAGAUGGCGUCAGAGAAAGCUACUGGUGGGUUGGAAGAACACGAUCAUUAGCCACAUUUGUGGGAGGAAUGCUCCAGGUUGGUCAGGCUAACUUUGACCUGAAAGCGAAAUGCUGGUGACUAAGACACAGAGAUGGAAUCCCAGUGGCUGACAGGAUUUGCAUCUUCCCCCUCUGGCCAAGGAAGUGCCUUCAAAAUGAGUUCCUGGAUGCAAGUUAUUCAGCUGGACACAUGAGGAGG